rnacentral:rRNA from 1 species
GGAUGCGAUCAUACUAGCACUAAAGCACCGGAUACCAUCAGAACUCCGAAGUUAAGCGUGCUUGGCCGAGAGUAGUACUAGGAUGGGUGACCUCCUGGGAAGUCCUCGUGUUGCAUUCC